CGCUUUAUUAAAAAGCACUCCCUGCUCAAUGAAAAAUUUAAAUAGCCGCUAUGGCGCUAAGGUAGCGUAAUAAUUAGCCUCUUAAUUGGAGGCAAGUAUGAAUGGGUACAUUGGAAGAGUAAUUUCAAUUUUUAAAAAGAAUUUUUAUAGGAGUGAAAAAACUACUAUGGUAUUCUAAGACGAUAAGACCCUAUGAAGCUAUUCAUAUUAAUUUAAUUAAAAACAAAAACAUAUGAAUUAUUUGGGGUAAAGAAUAAUAAAAAUAUUAUAACCAAAGAACAAUGAUGAUCUUAAAUGAAUAUGAAGAAAAAGCUACUCUAGGGAUAACAGCGUAAUAUUUAUUAGAGUCCUUAUCGAAAUAAAUGUUUGCGACCUCGAUGUUGAAUUAUGGUUAUUUUUUAAGGCAGCACUUAAAAAAUGUAGUCUGUUCGACUAAUUAAUCC
rnacentral:rRNA from 1 species